CUUUUUAUUACUUGUCAGAUCAAAUGCACAAGCAAAACAUCUGUCGAGAACUAGAUUUGGUUUCUGAAGAAAAUGAGAGUUUUUCUUGUUUGGGAGUUGUGUGUGGUUCCUAGGUAACCCAAGUCAAAGGAAUUCACACCUAAGUGUAUAUAUCAAUAUAGUUUGAUUAAGUUAAAGUGUAAUACUUAUUGUCUGGAGUUUCUUUGAAUCACUAACACAACAGUAAUAGCUAUAUGAAUAAUCAAGCACCAUUAACUAGCUCAAUGAAAAGCCAUCAGGACAUCAGUCUCUCAUGGAAAAUCCCAGCAAUCCCUGAAAAUAUUGUGAGCACAUUUUAGAGACUCGUACAGUAUUACAGGAAACACUCUGCACUUCAUGAAAUGAGAGAUCUUCUAGAAAGCUCUCCAGAUAAUUCUGCAUCCCAUCACAAGUGCUUACCGGCUCUAUUUAUGCCUGGUAAGUACCCUAGAGAGAGUGUGUGAGGGUCUCUGCGGUAUAUUGCUCUGUCAAUAUGCCCCACUUGCAGGUACACAAGUCUGGGAUGAAGUCGCUGACAAACACGAGGAAGAGAUGACGACUUUGUCAUCAUUUAUUGUUGCCUUUUUCCUUCUAGGAUUCUCUUGUUCUUCACGGAGCGAGAGUUGUGUGGGUAAGUGUUGUGAGACGGGGCUCGUUUAAAGACAGGUUGUCAGUAUAUCAGUGUGUGAGUGUGUGUUUGUGUCCUCAGCAGGUAACGUCAGUUUGUUGGUGUCUGUCAGCAAUAACUCGACUCUGCUGGUUGACUGGAACAGCGGGAGCAAACAGACGACCCAAUGUGCUCUGCUCAUCUCAAGCGAAGGAAGACAGGAGAUCCAGAUACACCUUUUACCAAGGUCUGGAUCUCUGCUGUUGGAAAACAUGACAGACAAUAGCAAACACUCCUUCUUAUGCACUUGUUUUGAACAAUCUCGGGGACUCUUGUGCUCCAAGAACAUAAGCUUUGUUAUGGGCGCUGUUUCCAGACCACCUCUGGUCCUGAUGUCAAAUACUCAAAGCUCUGCCAGUUAUAUCAGCAUCUCUGGAGGUGUUCCUCAUGUUAUCCGAGUGUGAACGAGUUAACACAUCUGCUUAGCUGCCAUCAGUGCGAAUGGCAUGACUCACAUCCUCUGAGAACAUCAACAGUGGUGACUUUAAAAUGCAGAAUCUCAUUUAUGCAGCAUCACUAAAGGAAGACAUUACCUGUUUUAUGCAUAAUUUUCUGCACACCUCCGUAUCAGCCUCAGCGAGCUAAUGAUUAAACAGGGAAAUGGGCUGUCACAUCCUGAGCCCAGGAAAUGGCACAGGGCCAGGAAUUAGAAGAACACGUUUAGCAAAGGAAACAGGAUGGUGAAGCAUUAAAAAGUUGUAGAAAAGGCACAAGUGGAUGGUACAUGAAUUAUAGAUACUAUAAGAGAGUUGGAUAAGAAUUUUUUGUGCUUGCUUUGUUUUAGCACCUGAUUUGCUAAAGGAAUUAUGUGCAUAAGAAAACUUUUUAUUUUAAUUUUUUAUAAUGUCACAAUUUUCAUAAAUAAAAUGUAGCUCAAAGUGCUUCA
ensembl:lncRNA